rnacentral:rRNA from 1 species
AUUGAACGCUGGCGGCAUGCCUUACACAUGCAAGUCGAACGGUAACAGAUCUUCGGAUGCUGACGAGUGGCGAACGGGUGAGUAAUACAUCGGAACGUGCCUAGUAGUGGGGGAUAACUACUCGAAAGAGUGGCUAAUACCGCAUGAGAUCUACGGAUGAAAGCAGGGGAUCGCAAGACCUUGUGCUACUAGAGCGGCCGAUGGCAGAUUAGGUAGUUGGUGGGAUAAGAGCUUACCAAGCCGACGAUCUGUAGCUGGUCUGAGAGGACGAUCAGCCACACUGGGACUGAGACACGGCCCAGACUCCUACGGGAGGCAGCAGUGGGGAAUUUUGGACAAUGGGCGCAAGCCUGAUCCAGCAAUGCCGCGUGCAGGAUGAAGGCCUUCGGGUUGUAAACUGCUUUUGUACGGAACGAAAAGCCCUGGGUUAAUACCCUGGGGUCAUGACGGUACCGUAAGAAUAAGCACCGGCUAACUACGUGCCAGCAGCCGCGGUAACAC